GUCCACGCCGUAAACGAUGGUUACUAGGUGUUCGGCCGUUAUUGGCUGAGUGCCCAAGCGAAAGCGAUAAGUAACCCACCUGGGGAGUACGUCCGCAAGGAUGAAACUCAAAGGAAUUGACGGGGGCCCGCACAAGCGGUGGAGCAUGUGGUUUAAUUCGAUGGUACGCGAGGAACCUUACCUGGGCUAGAAUGCGCGUGACCGACCCUGAAAGGGGUCUUUCUUCGGACACAAAGCAAGGUGCUGCAUGGCUGUCGU
rnacentral:rRNA from 1 species